rnacentral:rRNA from 1 species
GACGAACGCUGGCGGCGUGCUUAACACAUGCAAGUCGAACGGCAAGGCCCUGCUUUUGUGGGGUGCUCGAGUGGCGAACGGGUGAGUAACACGUGAGUAACCUGCCCUUGACUUUGGGAUAACUUCAGGAAACUGGGGCUGAUACCGGCUCGUAGCUCCUGCUGCAUGGUGGGGGUUGGAACGUUUCGGCGGUCGGGGAUGGUCUCGCGGCUUAUCAGCUUGUUGGUGGGGUAGUGGCUUACCACGGCUUUGCCGGGUAGCCGGCCUGGGAGGGUGACCGGGGACAUGGGGACUGAGAUACGGCCCAGACGCCUACGGGAGACAGCAGUGGGGAAUAUGGCACAAUGGGCGGAAGCCUGAUGCAGCAACGCCGCGGGCGGGAAGACGGCCUUCGGGUUGUAAGCCGCUUUCGCCUGUGACGAAGCGUGAGUGACGGUAAUGGAUAAAGAAGCACCGGCUAACUACGUG